GAGUUUGAUCGUGGCUCAGAGUGAACGCUGGCGGCAGGCCUAACACAUGCAAGUCGAACGGCAGCGCAGCAGUAGCAAUACUGUGGGCGGCGAGUGGCGGACGGGUGAGGAAUACAUCGGAAUCUACCUUGUCGUGGGGGAUAACGUAGGGAAACUUACGCUAAUACCGCAUACGACCUACGGGUGAAAGCGGCGGACCGCAAGGCGUCGCGCGAUUGGAUGAGCCGAUGUCCGAUUAGCUAGUUGGCGGGGUAAGAGCCCACCAAGGCGACGAUCGGUAGCUGGUCUGAGAGGAUGAUCAGCCACACUGGAACUGAGACACGGUCCAGACUCCUACGGGAGGCAGCAGUGGGGAAUAUUGGACAAUGGGCGCAAGCCUGAUCCAGCCAUGCCGCGUGUGUGAAGAAGGCCUUCGGUUGUAAG
rnacentral:rRNA from 1 species